UCUGUCCCCACCAAUAGCCUCCCCGGAGUCCAGCAACUCGCCCCAACUCCUUUCCCCUCGCUGGAGUGCCCCGCAGCCCCUUAGCCAAAUCCCACCCGAAGCCCCCUCCGCCGGAGUGCUUGCGGCUCUCAACCCCGCCCUCCUCGAGGUCCGUUCUGUCCUGGAGCGGGUCGGCCUCGUCGCCCUGAGCACGUGGGUAGGUCGAGCGCCGCCUACGAUGGCCGGAGUCGCCGGCGAUCGUCGUCAGGGCGGCCGGUCUCGCCUCUGCCUCAGCGCGCGUCGGGGGAAGGAGAGGAGGAGAGGGAGGAGAGAGAAGGUCAACGCGGGUCCCACCCGUCAGCCGCACGAGGCGCCUGCUGACGUGGAUAAGUGGACACGCAGUUCUGGUGACUACGUCUUCAUGCGUUGAAAGCGUAUUAUCCGGGUGCUUUGGCUGAAAGUACUCUUUCGCGUUAGGAAAGCGUAUUUGCUGAAGUACGCCUUCUGUUUUUCUGCCUAAGUCCAGUCUGAAAAUAUUUCAUUACAGAUGGGUCCCUGGCAGAAAACACCUCAUAACUUUUUGUCCGUAACUCCAAAUGAGGUGAAUCCAAAGCCUACUUCUUUGUUUCGUCGAGCCCGUUCGGUUGGUUUCAUUUUCACUAUGGUUUGACACUGUGAAAAUGACCUUUUUGCCCUUGCACGUAAACAGCCCCUCCGAGAGAGAACUGUUUCCGGCAAAUCUUUCCGCGGCUUCACCGCACUUCUCCCCGGUGCCUUCUUCAUCCCCAGGCAAGCCACAAUACCCAUUUGCAUGAAAUUCAUGCAGUAGCCAUGGUUUUCAACUUGAAUAUUUAUUAAAUGAUUGCUUGUUUAAAACAUGGUUAUCGUUGUUUCGGUAAUGCUUCUGGUUUAGUGCUUACUUGUUUGCUAUGUUGUUAUGCACCUGGUUAUCAUGCCCUGCUAGUUGCUAGUAUUGCUUUCAUAUUGCCAUGCUUGAUAGUAGUACAUGUUGGGUUGGUCAUGUUCUUCGGUGCAUGAUUAACGUCGGUUAUCGAGUACCAUUAAUAUGCGUUGUUCCUUUGUUGUUAGUUGGUUAAGUCUUACUCGGUGAUGUUAUUGAUGAUUUCUUGCAUGUUAUUUAUGUUUGAUGACAAUGGUCAUGUUAUGCUAUGAGUAGUGUUGUACUUGUAAAAUUUAUGCUCGUCAUUAUGCCAUGUUCAGUUGGAGAUUAUUCAUAGUUGAUAUGGUGGAUAGUUAUGUUGCAUCCCGUACUUAUGUUGAUAUCAUGUUCAUGCAUUGUAAUUGCAUCAUGUUAUUUUAUCAUGGCUCAGCAUUUUGCAUUCAAGUUUAACCGGAUUUAAUUGAACUUGAACAACUGUUGGCUGAGUCAUGGUGCCGCCAGAUCGAAACUGACCAGUGCAACCACGCUUAUCUUAUGGGUAAGGUCCUAACUGGGUCUAUUGUCGUGCAUCUCGCUGGUGCCUCCCACGAGGGAAGGUUAUGGGCGUGCUUACCCUGAUCAGGUGCCCGUUGUUUUUAUUUUUAUGGAUCCGGUCCCCGUGAGGGAGUUUUGACCACGACGGUGGUCGGGGUGUCUUUGGUAGACACGGGGCCACCCAGGACUAGCCCAGUUGGGAGUGGGUCGGAGUGGCCGGCAGAGUGUCAUGACAAUAGAUCGGUUUUGUCGGAACGCCGUUGGUCCACCCGAAUGGGAGUGCGAGGCCAUGGGUUCCGUGGUGUGGGUACAGGGUACUAACCUCUGCAGAGUGUAUAUUAAAUCUAUCGAUAGCUGCGCCCGCGGAUAAGGGCCCAGUUCGUGUUGGUCCCACCGUGAGUCAACAGUAUUAAUAAUAACUGGAUUAAUAACAACCCCGGUUUGAUGAUGAGAUAAGUUGGUUGUGAUCGCCGGAAAGAUCACUGUUUGAGACCAAGUGUUGGUCAUGGUUGUGAUCGCCGGAAUGAUCACCGUGGUAUCGAGGAUACCGAGUUGUUGGAUAUUCGUGAUCUUGUGCGAGAAUCAUGGGUAAAGAUCAGGCUCCUUGUGGUCAUUUAAUGAUUACUACGGUAUUGUUUAUACCAAGCUUGAUUUGAUCCUGAGAUAAUCGUGUGAUGUCCGAGGUUGGUAAGUGAUGCGUGUGAUGGUUGCGAAAUAACCCGAGCAGAAUUAAUGGUGCAUGUAGUGUCAUCAUGUUGCAUGCUAGUAUCAUCGGAUUUAUAUGUAUAUGCUAUGCUCAUGUUGUUUUACCUGUAUCAUGUUCAUGUUGCCUUUGGAUUCUUAGUGGCUAUUAUGAUUAUUUUCGUGAUGGUAGCUGAUAUUAUUUUGGAGUAUUACUUUGGAUGUCAUGUUGCUCAUGCCAUGUUGUUAUAAGGAUCUCAUGUUAAUUCCUGCUUAACUUGUAAUUGCCAUGCUGUUGUUUGUCUUGAAUGCUUCUGGUUAAUUGUGAGCUUGCAAGUACAUUCAAUGUACUGACCUGGCGUGUCAUGCCAGCUUGCAGGUGGUGCCUGGAUUGCUUGCUUGUUUGGUGUUGUUCCUGUGUUCGCGAGCUAGGAUAAGCGUUCCAGCCAGAGUCCCUGCAGAGUGGAGUUCACCACCGUCGUCGUUGUUCCGCUGCUAGAGUUAUUCCGCUGCUUCGAGUUGUUCUGCUGCUUGCAUAGAGCAACUGAGGAUGGCGUAGUGUCACCGUGCCAAUGUUAUUCAUUGUAAUAUCGGAGACCUUGUAUUCAUAUUCGUGAUAUAAUAGAAAGCUGGUUUGUUCUAUGCUAA
rnacentral:lncRNA from 1 species